rnacentral:misc_RNA from 1 species
AACUAACGCUAUUAUUGUUACAGUUUCUGUACUAUAUUGGUAUGAGAAACUUCCAGAAUUUCAUUAUUCUGGUAAAUUUUGGAAUUAAAUCUUCGGAUUUA